GGAUGCGUGGCCGAGCGGUCGAAGGCGCUGUCUUGGAAAGGCAGAGGGCCUCCGAAAAGGGGUCCCGCGGGUUCGAAUCCCGCCGCAUCCGCCA
rnacentral:tRNA from 1 species